rnacentral:rRNA from 1 species
AUUGAACGCUGGCGGCAUGCCUUACACAUGCAAGUCGAACGGCAGCACGGGUGCUUGCCCCUGGUGGCGAGUGGCGAACGGGUGAGUAAUACAUCGGAACAUGUCCUGUAGCGGGGGAUAGCCCGGCGAAAGCCGGAUUAAUACCGCAUACGAUCUACGGAUGAAAGCGGGGGACCUUCGGGCCUCGCGCUAUCGGGUUGGCCGAUGGCUGAUUAGCUAGUUGGUGGGGUAAAGGCCUACCAAGGCGACGAUCAGUAGCUGGUCUGAGAGGACGACCAGCCACACUGGGACUGAGACACGGCCCAGACUCCUACGGGAGGCAGCAGUGGGGAAUUUUGGACAAUGGGCGAAAGCCUGAUCCAGCAAUGCCGCGUGUGUGAAGAAGGCCUUCGGGUUGUAAAGCACUUUUGUCCGGAAAGAAAUCCUUGGCCCUAAUACGGUCGGGGGAUGACGGUACCGGAAGAAUAAGCACCGGCUAACUACGUG